AAUUUCUUCAACAUCAACGUGUUUUUUUUUUUGUAAACGGACGGCGUGGAGUUCCGGGCCGCAGUAGGGCUCCGAAAAAAACCUUUUUCGGUCUUUUUGACGUGAAACUUGCACAGCACCAGCGAAGACUGUUUCGGCCGUCAAGGAGCCGGCGCCAGCAUGGACAACAACGAGAACAAACUACCGGCUCAGGUGACCGCCUGCGAAGGUGCCGCAAGCUCAAGCUGCUUCGUCGCGACCUGCUGCGCGCGGCCAAGUACACCAAGAAGAUGCCCGCAUGGAGCGUAAGGUGAUCGAAACAUCAACAUUCCGGCCGAGCCGAAGGUGACUUUCGUGAUCGGUGCUAUCUAUAUGGUCGCCCCGAAUGACCGCAAGUUGCUGCAGCUGUUUCAUCUGCGUCAGAUAAACAACGCCACCUUCAUCACCUAUGUGUACCCCUUGCUCAUGCUCAUCCGCAGGCUGGUCUACAAGCGUGGCUUCGUCAAGCACCGACACAGCCGCAUUCCGAAGCUGCGCGCCGCGUACAAGCUGCAGUGCGUCGUUGACCAGAUCAACACCGGUCCAGGUUCCAAAAGGUCGCAGUUUUGAAAGGUCAAAAUAUCCUGGUCAAGGUAGUUCAAGAACAACAACGAUGCGCAGUUUGCCACUAAACGAGCGCAAUGUAGCAAAUUUCUGCCCAGAAUCCGUUGGCUGGUUUCGCAAUUUCAAUAUGUUGAGUACUAUCCUCAGUCAUCGCUAGUCUUGCUGGAAACGGCCAGCUUCCCGCAACAAGAUCGCUCACACUUGAAUCCACCAGUUUGCCGAGAUUGUGGUCGAGACUUAUCUGCUGGCGCAUAAAUACGUACGGAAGGCUCCAGCCGUCUCAGCGGACCAGCUUGUGGCGCUUGUUCGAACGCAGAACAACUACACCAACUACUGGGCCCCGUCGUACUACAAAGUCACCAUGCCCCCCGCACCAAAAUCUCGUGUGAAGCGUAACUCGCCUCGUAUACGACCCUGACCCUUUUGCUGCGCCCGAAACGGCGCGUACUGUCUGGUGUUCAAGACAGCAAAGCUGAUGCUCGGAACUCAUCUCCGCGCCUUAUGGCAGCUGUUCGGCUAACGGACGAGUUGUUCAGAUUCAGAUUGACGACACUGUUUGCGCAGCGUCGCGAAGGAAGAUAAACAGUUUGAGGUGACCAUCUUCUGGCGAACUACGCUAAGGGCGUACCCGUUGAGGGAAACGCGCGUGCCAUGUCCAAACUGCAGAUCGAGGGUGAAACGGCGUUCCUGGAUCUGGGGUUUCCCGAGGUAACGCAGUCAAGUGCUGCUGUGGUUUUAUGUCCCAGAAGUCGGAUGAGCAAGCCCCACACCUGUGCUGGGACGCAUUCCCCAUAGCGCCCGGCCACAACCCGUUUGACAACUUUUGUCAAAAACAUCCGGAAGUUGCAUUAUGUAAGUUUGUGAAACUGCGAUUGGAAUUUCCACCUAUUUAUUUCGAUUAGAGAGAAUUUAGACUUCAAACAAAAUUAUUGCCUUU